UACGUAGGGUGCGAGCGUUGUCCGGAAUUACUGGGCGUAAAGAGCUCGUAGGUGGUUUGUCGCGUUGUUCGUGAAAACUCACAGCUCAACUGUGGGCGUGCGGGCGAUACGGGCAGACUGGAGUACUGCAGGGGAGACUGGAAUUCCUGGUGUAGCGGUGGAAUGCGCAGAUAUCAGGAGGAACACCGGUGGCGAAGGCGGGUCUCUGGGAAUGUCCUGACGCUGAGACGCGAAAGCGUGGGGAGCGAACAGG
rnacentral:rRNA from 1 species